CCUACGGGAGGCAGCAGUGGGGAAUCUUGCACAAUGGGGGAAACUCUGAUGCAGCGAUGCCGCGUGAGUGAAGAAGGCCUUUGGGUUGUAAAGCUCUUUUGUAGGGGAAGAUAAUGACUGUACCCUAAGAAUAAGGUCCGGCUAACUUCGUGCCAGCAGCCGCGGUAAUACGAAGGGACCUAGCGUAGUUCGGAAUUACUGGGCGUAAAGCGCGCGUAGGCCGUUGGGUUAGUUAAUUGUGAAAUCCCAAAGCUUAACUUUGGAACUGCAAUUAAAACUGCUCGACUAGAGUUUGAUAGAGGAAAGCGGAAUACAUAGUGUAGAGGUGAAAUUCGUAGAUAUUAUGUAGAACACCAGUUGCGAAGGCGGCUUUCUGGAUCAACACUGACGCUGAGGCGCGAAAGUAUGGGUAGCAAAGAGGAUUAGAUACCCUCGUAGUCCAUACCAUAAACGAUGAUUGCUAGAUGUUGGAAAUUUAUUUUCAGUAUCGCAGCUAACGCAUUAAGCAAUCCGCCUGGGGAGUACGACCGCAAGGUUAAAACUCAAAGGAAUUGACGG
rnacentral:rRNA from 1 species